CGCUCCCUUUUGCACGGAUACUUGAGCAUGGCCCCUGUGGUGGGGUACCUGGGGAAAGAGCCUGGGGUGUCUCCUCAGCCCUGACAGCUCACCUCGUGUCAAGAGAAGCUUGUUGAGAUGGAGCAUGCUGGAGAAGCCCCCCAAGACCAGGCUUGAAACAAGGGGAGAUUGUUUUUGGGGACUCUGGAAGACUAGGCAUUGCACGGACCCAUGCUAGACAGAUCGGGGAAGGGCUGGAGGUCACUCUGGCAUGUAGGAUCCUGGAUCACUCUGAGAGGUCACUGGAAAAGAACGAGAACAGCUUUCCCCAUUUCUUAGUGUGCUGAAGUGGGACGUGAAGACAGGCAAGGAAAGUGCUUCCAGCGGUCAGUCAGCCAGGUGCUCUGCUCAGAGGCAGAGCUGGCAGGAGCCUGGGAGGUGCUGGCACACGUCUUUCCCGCCCCAAAGCCACCCACUGGCUUCUCUCACGGCCACCCUGGAGGUUACAGCACAUGCAUCUUUAAUUUUUUCAAUUAACAACAAUAU
ensembl:lncRNA novel transcript